GACGAACGCUGGCGGCGUGCCUAAUACAUGCAAGUCGAACGAGUGGGGACGGGUGAGUAACACGUGGGUAACCUCCCAUCAGAGGGGAUAACAAUUGGAAACAGGUGCUAAACCGAUACUGAUGGAUGGACCCGCGGUGCAUUAGCUAGUUGGUGAGGUAACGGCUCACCAAGGCCACGAUGCCUAGCCGACCUGAGAGGGUGAUCGGCCAACCUGGGACUGAGACACGGCCCAGACUCCUACGGGAGGCAGCAGUGGGGAAUAUUGGACAAUGGGCGAAAGCCUGAUCCAGCCAUGCCGCGUGUGUGAAGAAGGUCUUCGGAUUGUAAAGCACUUUAAGUUGGGAGGCGUUACCAACAGAAUAAGCACCGGCUAACUCCGUGCCAGCAGCCGCGGUAAUAC
rnacentral:rRNA from 1 species